rnacentral:ncRNA from 1 species
UUAAAGUUUUAUUUUUGCUUAAAGAUUUAUUGUUAAUUUAUUUUACAUGUAAAUUUUUGUAUGAAAUAUAUUAAAUUUUAAAAAUUUAAUAUAUUAAUUUAUUCGCAGUAAUUAAUAUUAUAAUUUUAAAGAAAUUUAGAAAUAGUAAUAUUAUUAAAUAUUAACAAAUUUUGUGCCAGCAGUUGCGGUUAUACAAAAGAUAUAAAUAAAUCUUAUUGGAUGUAGUUAAAUGUAUAAAUAUUUAAAUUAAAAAUAAAUUUAUUAGGUGAAAUUUUAAAUUUAUAAUAAUUUAUUUAAUAAAAUAAUUGAAGCUAGGAAAUUUUAAUUAUAAACUAGGAUUAGAUACCCUAUUAUUUAAAAUGUAAUUAAAAAGUCUUGAGUAGUAAUAGUUAUGGUCUUGAAACUUAAAAAAUUUGGCGGUAUUUUAGUCUAUUCAGAGGAACCUGUCCUAUAAUCGAUAGUCCACGUUGAAUCUUACUUAAAUUUGUUUAUCAAUUUGUAUAUCGCCGUUAUCAGAAUAUUUUAUAAGAAUAAUAAUUUUCUAAAUUUUUUAUAAAUAAUGAUGUCAGGUCAAGGUGCAGUUUAUAUUUAAGUAGAGAUGGGUUACAAUAAAAAUAUUUAUUUAUGGAAAUGAAAUUGAAAUAUUUUAUGGAAGGUGGAUUUGAUAGUAAAAUUAUGUAGAUAAUUAAUUUGAUUAUAGCUCUAAAAUAUGCACACAUCGCCCGUCGCUCUUAUUAUUAAGAUAAGAUAAGUCGUAACAUAGUAGAUGUACUGGAAAGUGUAUCUAGAAUGA